rnacentral:tRNA from 1 species
ACCGAAGUAAAUCAGUUGAGAGAGCGUUAGACUAUAGGUCGAAAAGUUCCUGGUUCGAUCCCGGGUUCCGGCA